AACGAACGCUGGCGGCAUGCCUAACACAUGCAAGUCGAACGAGACCUUCGGGUCUAGUGGCGCACGGGUGCGUAACGCGUGGGAACCUGCCCUUAGGUUCGGAAUAACUCCCCGAAAGGGGUGCUAAUACCGGAUAAUGUCUUCGGACCAAAGAUUUAUCGCCUUUGGAGGGGCCCGCGUUGGAUUAGCUAGUUGGUAGGGUAAAAGCCUACCACGGCGACGAUCCAUAGCUGGUCUGAGAGGAUGAUCAGCCACACUGGGACUGAGACACGGCCCAGACUCUUACGGGAGGCAGCGGUGGGGAAUAUUGGAAAAUGGGCGAAAGCCUGAUCCAGCAAUGCCGCGUGAGUGAUGAAGGCCUUAGGGUUGUAAAGCUCUUUUACCCGGGAUGAUAAUGACAGUACCGGGAGAAUAAGCUCCGGCUAACUCCGUG
rnacentral:rRNA from 1 species